rnacentral:rRNA from 1 species
CCUACGGGUGGCAGCAGUGAGGAAUAUUGGUCAAUGGCCGAGAGGCUGAACCAGCCAAGUCGCGUGAGGGAAGACGGCCCUACGGGUUGUAAACCUCUUUUGUCGGGGAGAAAAGCGAACCACGUGUGGUUCAUUGAGAGUACCCGAAGAAAAAGCAUCGGCUCACUCCGGGCCAGCAGCCGCGGUAAUACGGAGGAUGCGGGCGUUAUCCGGAUUUAUUGGGUUUAAGGGGUGCGCAGGCGGAGGUGCAAGUCAGCGGUCAAAUUGCGGGGCUCAACCCCGUACUGCCGUUGAAACUGCAUCCCUUGAGUGCGCGAGAAGUAUGCGGAAUGCGUGGUGUAGCGGUGAAAUGCAUAGAUAGCACGCAGAACUCCGAUUGCGAAGGCAGCAUACCGGCGCGCAACUGACGCUCAUGCACGAAAGCGUGGGUAUCGAACAGGAUUAGAUACCCCUGUAGUC